GCACAUCUGGCAACCCACCAGCUAAAGCUAAGGGUUGUUUUUAACGUUCGUGAAAGAAGAACUAGUGUGAAUACUUGUGUCUGAUGUGAGAGAUGAUGUCAAGUUACAGAGUUUAUAAACAUUAACCAGCUCGAGAACUGAAAUCCGAAUGUAAUGAAACUAAUUACAGUUCCACCAAUGAAGGUUAGCAAUAUUCCCAUCAUCCUAUCAGAAGAGGAACUCUAGCUCUGUAACAUACUAUGGUAAAGACUGAGUUCAUUAAAGAGGAGAUUGAUGACAUGAGCGAUCCAGAAACAUCCAGAAUGAAUCACGAAGAUACUGAGGAACAAACAGAUCAGAUGGAGGUGAAACAGCAAAAACAAGAACUAAAUAAAGAAGAGGAUCAUUGUAACUUCAAAACUCGAAGAAGAAAAUUAAAGAAGCAGCACACCUGCUCACAGUGCGGAAAGAGUUUCAGACUUAAAUCAGGUCUCAGUAAUCAUAUGUGGCACCACUCUGGAGAAAAGCUAUUUAACUGUGAUAAGUGUGGUAAAAAAUAUUCCUUGUUAUCAAAUCUAAAAGUUCACCUGAAAC